UACUGAGGGGUGGCUGCUAUGU
rnacentral:miRNA from 1 species